GUUUUUGAAGAUGCUUUGGGGAGCAUGUGCACAAGGAUGUAUGGCAAGAGCAAGGCACAGGCUGGAUUGUUUGAGGUUUUUUAAUGCAGUGGGGAAUCUGUCUCUGGGAAGUGAUGGGUGGCAGUUUGGUUCCCAUGGAC